rnacentral:rRNA from 1 species
AUUGAACGCUGGCGGAAUGCUUUACACAUGCAAGUCGAACGGCAGCACGGGGGCAGCCCUGGUGGCGAGUGGCGAACGGGUGAGUAAUACAUCGGAACGUGCCCGGUCGUGGGGGAUAACGUAGCGAAAGUUACGCUAAUACCGCAUACGAUCUGAGGAUGAAAGCGGGGGACCUUCGGGCCUCGCGCGAUCGGAGCGGCCGAUGUCAGAUUAGGUAGUUGGUGGGGUAAAGGCCUACCAAGCCGACGAUCUGUAGCUGGUCUGAGAGGACGACCAGCCACACUGGGACUGAGACACGGCCCAGACUCCUACGGGAGGCAGCAGUGGGGAAUUUUGGACAAUGGGCGCAAGCCUGAUCCAGCCAUUCCGCGUGCAGGACGAAGGCCUUCGGGUUGUAAACUGCUUUUGUACGGAGCGAAAAGGCUCUGGCUAAUACCUGGGGCUCAUGACGGUACCGUAAGAAUAAGCACCGGCUAACUACGUG